rnacentral:rRNA from 1 species
UACGUAGGGGCAAGCGUUAUCCGGAAUUACUGGGUGUAAAGGGUACGUAGGCGGCCCAUUAAGUCAGAUGUGAAAGCCCGGAGCUCAACUCCGGGAUUGCAUUUGAAACUGGUGGGCUAGAGUACAGGAGAGGAGAGUGGAAUUCCUAGUGUAGCGGUGAAAUGCGUAGAUAUUAGGAAGAACACCAGUGGCGAAGGCGGCUUUAUGGACUGUAACUGACGCUGAGACGCGAAAGCGUGGGGAGCAAACAGG